rnacentral:rRNA from 1 species
UACGUAGGGUCCGAGCGUUUGUCCGGAAUUAUUGGGCGUAAAGGGCUCGUAGGCGGUCUGUUGCGUCGGGAGUGAAAACCCAGGGCUUAACCCUGGGCCUGCUUUCGAUACGGGCAGACUAGAGGCAUUCAGGGGAGAACGGAAUUCCUGGUGUAGCGGUGAAAUGCGCAGAUAUCAGGAGGAACACCGGUGGCGAAGGCGGUUCUCUGGGAAUGUUCUGACGCUGAGGAGCGAAAGUGUGGGGAGCGAACAGG